CGUACAGGUAGCCCUAGAGUUUGAUCCUGACUCAUGCGGACGGGUGAGUAAUGUCUGGGAAACUGCCCGAUGGAGGGGGAUAACUACUGGAAACGGUAGCUAAUACCGCAUAACGUCGCAGACCAAAGAGGGGGACCUUCGGGCCUCUUGCCAUCGGAUGUGCCCAGAUGGGAUUAGCUAGUAGGUGGGGUAACGGCUCACCUAGGCGACGAUCCCUAGCUGGUCUGAGAGGAUGACCAGCCACACUGGAACUGAGACACGGUCCAGACUCCUACGGGAGGCAGCAGUGGGGAAUAUUGCACAAUGGGCGCAAGCCUGAUGCAGCCAUGCCGCGUGUAUGAAGAAGGCCUUCGGGUUGUAAAGUACUUUCAGCGGGGAGGAAGGCGACAGGGUUAAUAACCCUGUCGAUUGACGUUACCCGCAGAAGAAGCACCGGCUAACUCCGUGCCAGCAGCCGCGGUAAUACGGAGGGUGCAAGCGUUAAUCGGAAUUACUGGGCGUAAAGCGCACGCAGGCGGUCUGUCAAGUCGGAUGUGAAAUCCCCGGGCUCAACCUGGGAACUGCAUUCGAAACUGGCAGGCUAGAGUCUUGUAGAGGGGGGUAGAAUUCCGGUGUAGCGGUGAAAUGCGUAGAGAUCUGGAGGAAUACCGGUGGCGAAAGCUGCCCCCUGGACAAAGACUGACGCUAGUGCGAAAGCGUGGGGGAGCAAACAGGAUUAGAUACCCUGGUAGUCCACGCC
rnacentral:rRNA from 1 species